UACAGAGGGGGCAAGCGUUGUUCGGAAUUACUGGGCGUAAAGGCGCGUAGGCGGCCUGCUAAGUCGAACGUGAAAUCCCUGGGCUCAACCCAGGAACUGCGUCCGAUACUGGUUGGCUUGAAUCCGGGAGAGGGAUGUGGAAUUCCAGGUGUAGCGGUGGAAUGACGCAGAUAUCAGGAGGAACACCGGUGGCGAAGGCGGGAUCCUGGGCCAGUACUGACGCUGACGGAGCGAAAGCGUGGGGAGCAAACAGG
rnacentral:rRNA from 1 species